UACGGAGGGUGCAAGCGUUAUCCGGAUUCACUGGGUUUAAAGGGUGUGUAGGCGGGUAUUUAAGUCAGUGGUGAAAUCUCUGAGCUCAACUCAGAAACUGCCAUUGAUACUAUUUAUCUUGAAUAUCGUUGAGGUUGGCGGAAUAUAUCAUGUAGCGGUGAAAUGCAUAGAUAUGAUAUAGAACACCGAUUGCGAAGGCAGCUUACUACACAAUGAUUGACGCUGAGGCACGAAAGCGUGGGGAUCAAACAGG
rnacentral:rRNA from 1 species